rfam:Ancylostoma ceylanicum strain HY135 Acey_s0143_scaf, whole genome shotgun sequence.
CCAACGGCCCUCUUUAGGGCCACAAAUGCACUCGAAUACUCUUGAU